GAUGAACGCUGGCGGCGUGCCUAAUACAUGCAAGUCGAGCGAACGGACGAGAAGCUUGCUUCUCUGAUGCUAGCGGCGGACGGGUGAGUAACACGUGGAUAACCUACCUAUAAGACUGGGAUAACUUCGGGAAACCGGAGCUAAUACCGGAUAAUAUUUUGAACCGCAUGGUUCAAAAGUGAAAGACGGUCUUGCUGUCACUUAUAGAUGGAUCCGCGCUGCAUUAGCUAGUUGGUAAGGUAACGGCUUACCAAGGCAACGAUGCAUAGCCGACCUGAGAGGGUGAUCGGCCACACUGGAACUGAGACACGGUCCAGACUCCUACGGGAGGCAGCAGUAGGGAAUCUUCCGCAAUGGGCGAAAGCCUGACGGAGCAACGCCGCGUGAGUGAUGAAGGUCUUCGGAUCGUAAAACUCUGUUAUUAGGGAAGAACAUAUGUGUAAGUAACUGUGCACAUCUUGACGGUACCUAAUCAGAAAGCCACGGCUAACUACGUGCCAGCAGCCGCGGUAAUACGUAGGUGGCAAGCGUUAUCCGGAAUUAUUGGGCGUAAAGCGCGCGUAGGCGGUUUUUUAAGUCUGAUGUGAAAGCCCACGGCUCAACCGUGGAGGGUCAUUGGAAACUGGAAAACUUGAGUGCAGAAGAGGAAAGUGGAAUUCCAUGUGUAGCGGUGAAAUGCGCAGAGAUAUGGAGGAACACCAGUGGCGAAGGCGACUUUCUGGUCUGUAACUGACGCUGAUGUGCGAAAGCGUGGGGAUCAAACAGGAUUAGAUACCCUGGUAGUCCACGCCGUAAACAAUGAGUGCUAAGUGUUAGGGGGUUUCCGCCCCUUAGUGCUGCAGCUAACGCAUUAAGCACUCCGCCUGGGGAGUACGACCGCAAGGUUGAAACUCAAAGGAAUUGACGGGGACCCGCAUAAGCGGUGGAGCAUGUGGUUUAAUUCGAAGCAACGCGAAGAACCUUACCAAAUCUUGACAUCCUUUGACAACUCUAGAGAUAGAGCUUUCCCCUUCGGGGGACAAAGUGACAGGUGGUGCAUGGUUGUCGUCAGCUCGUGUCGUGAGAUGUUGGGUUAAGUCCCGCAACGAGCGCAACCCUUAAGCUUAGUUGCCAUCAUUAAGUUGGGCACUCUAAGUUGACUGCCGGUGACAAACCGGAGGAAGGUGGGGAUGACGUCAAAUCAUCAUGCCCCUUAUGAUUUGGGCUACACACGUGCUACAAUGGACAAUACAAAGGGCAGCGAAACCGCGAGGUCAAGCAAAUCCCAUAAAGUUGUUCUCAGUUCGGAUUGUAGUCUGCAACUCGACUACAUGAAGCUGGAAUCGCUAGUAAUCGUAGAUCAGCAUGCUACGGUGAAUACGUUCCCGGGUCU
rnacentral:rRNA from 1 species